UACGUAGGGGGCAAGCGUUGUCCGGAAUCAUUGGGCGUAAAGAGCGCGUAGGCGGCCCUGUAAGUCCGCUGUGAAAGUCAAGGGCUCAACCCUUGAAUGCCGGUGGAUACUGCAGGGCUAGAGUCCGGAAGAGGCGAGUGGAAUUCCUGGUGUAGCGGUGAAAUGCGCAGAUAUCAGGAGGAACACCGGUGGCGAAGGCGGUUCUCUGGGCAUGUCCUGACGCUGAGGAGCGAAAGCGUGGGGAGCGAACAGG
rnacentral:rRNA from 1 species